UACGUAGGGUGCGAGCGUUGUCCGGAAUUAUUGGGCGUAAAGAGCUCGUAGGCGGUCUGUCGCGUCGGUCGUGAAAACCUGCAGCUUAACUGUGGGCGUGCGGUCGAUACGGGCAUGACUGGAGUUCGGCAGGGGAGACUGGAAUUCCUGGUGUAGCGGUGAAAUGCGCAGAUAUCAGGAGGAACACCGGUGGCGAAGGCGGGUCUCUGGGCCGAUACUGACGCUGAGACGCGAAAGCGUGGGGAGCAAACAGG
rnacentral:rRNA from 1 species